GGGUUUUCAUCUUCAGCAGGUUUUGAUAGCCUAUCAAGUUCGUUUAUAUUUAUAGUCGCACACAAGAACUUUUGCUUCCGAUGUGGGACUCUUUUUUCUCCGUCUCAUUUCUAUUUCUUCUACUGGGCCUGUUGUUGGGCUUUUCGUUUUGUCGUCUUCUCCACUCUGAAAUUAUGGUUUUGAUAUACGGCUCGCUCUUAUGUAAUAAUGAAGGUAGAUAGUGAUUUAACACCAAAACAUUCAAAAGUAGCUUAAGGUUACGUUCAGACAAAAGCUUAACCACGUUCGGACAUAAACUUAACCAGGACAUAAUAUAACCACGUUCGGACAUAAACUUAACCAGGACAUAAUAUAAGUCGAACUAAUAUAUAAGAGUUGCAUUCUGUCACACCAAGGAGUUUAAAAUCUUCUUCUAUCAGUCGUCGUC
rnacentral:lncRNA from 1 species